CCUACGGGCGGCUGCAGUGGGGAAUAUUGGGCAAUGGAGGCAACUCUGACCCAGCAACGCCGCGUGAAUGAUGAAGGUCUUCGGAUUGUACAGCUCUGUGAUGGGGGAUGAAAACAAUGACGCUACCCCAAUAGCAAGCCACGGCUAACUACGUGCCAGCAGCCGCGGUAAUACGUAGGGGGCAAGCGUUAUCAGGAAUGAAUGGGCGUAAAGGGUGCGUAGGUGGUGUAGUAAGUUGGAGGUGAAAGUCCGGGGCUCAACGUGGGCGCUGUCUCCAACACUAUUCGACUAGAGUGCAGGAGAGGUAAGCGGAAUGCAUGGUGUAGCGGUGGAAUGCGUAGAUAUUAGGAGGAACAUCAGGGGCGAAGGCGACUUACUGGACUGUAACUGACGCUGAGGCACGAAAGCGUGGGGAGCAAACAGGAUUAGAUACCCGGGUAGUC
rnacentral:rRNA from 1 species